rnacentral:lncRNA from 1 species
GGAACUCAUCUGAGGAGUCACUUUUGGAUACAAUUGUUAAACCUUCAUAUUGUCACUUUUAAAAACCUACCUGAGAACAAUUAUGGGACAAUCGCGUUUAAACGGACUUGCGUUGAUGCAUGUGUUCUACAGAUUGGAACUAAACAUAAAACAAAUUAUAGAUAACUUUGCAAGGAAACACCCCCGACGCAUGAUGUUGAAUGACCUGAUAAAAGACUUAUUGUUAAAUUAGUAAAUUUUGAACAAUUUUACGUAGAACUAUUUUUACCGAUUCGGA